CUAAGAAUCUUGCGCAAUGGGCGAAAGCCUGACGCAGCAAUUCCGCGUGGGGGACGAAGGCCCUAGGGUCGUAAACCCCUUUUGUGAAGGAAGAAGUUCUGACGGUACUUCACGAAUAAGACACGGCUAACUACGUGCCAGCAGCCGCGGUAAUACGUAGGUGUCAAGCGUUGUCCGGAUUUAUUGGGCGUAAAGCGCCCGCAGGCGGCUUGCCAAAUUUGAAGUGAAAUCUCCCGGCUCAACUGGGAGGGUGCUUCGAAAACUGGCAGGCUUGAGGCAGGGAGAGGGAUGUGGAAUUCCCGGUGUAGUGGUGAAAUGCGUAGAUAUCGGGAGGAACACCAGUGGCGAAGGCGGCAUCCUGGCCCUGUCCUGACGCUCAGGGGCGAAAGCGUGGGGAGCAAACCGGAUUAGAUACCCGGGUAGUCCACGCCGUAAACGAUGAGUACUAGGUGUAGGGGGUAUCGACCCCUCUGUGCCGAAGCUAACGCGAUAAGUACUCCGCCUGGGGACUACGGCCGCAAGG
rnacentral:rRNA from 1 species